AGGAGAGGCAGCAGGGCAUGGCUCACUGCCAUGGAACCUUGAGCACUGCACACUGCGGCCAGCCGAGUCAGCUGGGCUGGUGCAGCGACCCUGGACAUCUGCAGCCCAGGACAACUGCCAGUGGGGAGGUUUGGCCACAUUUGGCCCCGCACUGUGCAGAAUGCUUCCUGCUAGGAGGCAAAAGAGAAAGUUCCAGACGACUGAAACAGGCAGCCUUGCAUGCUGAUGUCCGUAACUGUGUGGCCCGUCACCAAUGAAAGUACGGAGGAAGAACUUCCAUGGAAGACUGAUCAGAAGUGCGACAAACCACAGAGGUGCCAGAAGAGCUCGGGAGCACCUGCCAGUGUUUCCUGGGCUGAGGAAAGCUCACAGCAGCCAGACACAGCUGAUUACAGCAAAUCACAUCCUAACUUUGUGGGGCCACGUCUUUUUCCCCUCUGAUGUAUGAUCACUUAAUUUCCUCCUUGAUUGCUUUUCAAAAGCAAUCAAAAUUAAUGUGGACCCACAAAGGGCAAGGCUAUGUGUGAAUAAUUAGUGCAAGAUAAUAAAUGCAAAUGGAGAAAGAUA